UCAGCAUCUGGGAUACUGUGUAAGAUAUUCUUUAAAAUAUGACUUCAGACCCUGCAGCUGGUCAAACAGUGGUACCACUGUGAGGGAAAUAUUUCAGAAGAACUAUGUACCUUGCGUUGGAAGAUUUUCUUUUGUCUUUCUCUAAUCAUUCCAGAUACCUUGCCAGCUGCAGUGAGUUCCAAAGCCUCUCCCUUUAACUAAGUAGUUCAGGAGCAAUUUGACAUGAUUCCUGUCUGGAAAGUACAUUCCAAAGAUGCUGGACAUGGCUGCUGCUCUCAUUGAUUCUAAAAUGAGCUACAAUGAGGAUGUAUGCUCAGGAAGGGGACACCAUGUUUUGCACCCAAGGAUCCAGUAACAAAACAGAGGCUUCCAGCCUUGUUCCCAGUUAUCAAGCAAGAUGAGAAAAUGGAACCUGGAAGAAGAGUUCUAUACCUGUGCCUGAAGAUCAAAGGUCAGCAUGGAAAAACAGAGAUUCAGCAUGAAGUAUUGUGACUGUAGGCUUUCUAGAGCACCACCCACUCGAAAGGCCAUCAUGCUUUGACUCUGAAUAAGGAUGAUGGCACAGAUGACAUCAAAGGAGCCAACCAAGAGGAUGAGAAUGAAGCGGGCCUGAUGAGAAAGAGAAAUAAGCAUGUGACUGGUCAUGCUGAAACAGUGAUAGUUCUAUCUUUAAAUCUUCUAACUAGAAAUGAAGGAAUAAAAGGAUGACUACAGGGAAGAAGGAAUCUCCUCACAUUUGUGAUAAGUAUGCAAACAUGAAAGGGAAGCACAGCAGGGGAAAGUUUAACUACUGAAGUUAGUAACACGGUUAUCACUCUUAAAAACACAAUGUUGCAUUUGUGGAUGUUAGGAGUUGCUAGUGGCUGUGUCCUUGCAUACAGACCUGACGUUCCAGUUCCAUUCAGUCGAAUUUAUGUGACUUUGGCCAGUGAUUUUAUAGGUGAAAAUCUGAUGCAGGGUAAGUAAACCAAUGGCAACACAUUCUGCAGUAAUUCUGUGUAAGUAAUGUCAUUUGAUACUGAUGUUACUUUCAGGUACUUGCAUAAAGAAACCCAUAGAACUGUACAAUUUGCCAUUGUGGA